UAGUCCUAGCUGUAAACGAUGGAUACUAGACGUAGGAACUGGAUUGACGGUUUCUGUGUCGUAGCUAACGCGCUAAGUAUCCCGCCUGGGGAGUACGGUCGCAAGACUAAAACUCAAAGGAAUUGACGGGACCCCGCACAAGCGGCGGAGCAUGCGGCUUAAUUCGAUGAUACCCGUAGAACCUUACCUGGACUUGACAUAUAGGAUCCAGCUAUAGAGAUAUAGUGUGCUUUAGCGUCCUAUACAGGUGGUGCAUGGCUGUCGUCAGCUCGUGUCGUGAGAUGUUGGGUUAAGUCCCGCAACGAGCGCAACCCUUAUUUUUAGUUACCAAUUUUUUGGGUUCUCUAGAAAGACUGCCGGCGACAAACCGGAGGAAGGUGAGGAUGACGUCAAGUCAGCAUGCCCCUUAUGUCCUGGGGCUACACACGUGCUACAAUGGGGAGGGGACAAAGAGUCGCAAGUUUG
rnacentral:rRNA from 1 species